rnacentral:rRNA from 1 species
GACGAACGCUGGCGGCGUGCCUAGUACAUGCAAGUCGAACGAACCGCGACUAAGUGCUUGCACUAAGUCAAGGUGAGUGGCGAACGGGUGAGUAACACGUGGGUAACCUACCUCAUAGUGGGGGAUAACAGUCGGAAACGACUGCUAAUACCGCAUAGGACAUAGGAUCACAUGAUCCAGUGAUGAAAGGUGGCGCAAGCUAUCGCUAAGAGAUGGACCCGCGGUGCAUUAGCUAGUUGGUAGGGUAAAGGCCUACCAAGGCGAUGAUGCAUAGCCGACCUGAGAGGGUGAUCGGCCACAUUGGGACUGAGACACGGCCCAAACUCCUACGGGAGGCAGCAGUAGGGAAUCUUCCGCAAUGGACGCAAGUCUGACGGAGCAACGCCGCGUGAGUGAAGAAGGUCUUCGGAUCGUAAAGCUCUGUUGUUAGAGAAGAACAGCGCAUAGAGUAACUGCUAUGCGUGUGACGGUAUCUAACCAGAAAGCAACGGCUAACUACGUG